CUGGUUUUGAACAUAAAAUAACAUGUAAACAGACGCUCUUUAUAAAUAGAUGCAAUGUGUUUUUGUGCUUAGUUGUUUGCCAUUCUUCCUCCCGAAAGCAUAUUCAUAAUUAUUAAUUAAUUCACUAGAGUUAUUAUCAAAAUGGUGUCAAAGUCAGUUUUCAUUCUCUUGCUUGUGUGCGUGGUCGGUGUUAUGUCUGGCCCGCUGCAGUGUGCGUGUACGUUCAACUAUGAGCCUGUGUGCGGGUCUGAUGGCAAGGACUAUGACAACACAAGCUGCAUGCGCUGUGCGGACCCCAACUUGACAGUCGCGAAGUAUGGACACUGCGCGGGAGAUGAAAAACUUGAAGUUGUUAAUGAAUAAUGUUCUUGAAUAAAUGAUUUUGAUAUAUGU